AUGCCAAGGAAAUCUCAUCGUCCUCCUGUCAGCAACAAAUGGGUCCCAGGCAUCCACCCAAGUUUCUCACACUGAACAGUGCGGCAAGGUCACCGGGACUGAUGAAAACUGGAAGAGGAAACGUGAAUUGUUUGGGUUUAAGACACCGAAGCAAACCUGGACUUAAAGACCCAAACUGAGGCUAAGAAAUUGACAUCACUCAGAUGUCAAUUAACCUCUUAGAAAGGAAGACUAGGUUUCUGGAUGGCACUUAGGUUUGACGUGAAAUAUGCCGGUCUUGCUCUUAUUAUGCAUACCUCAUUUCAAGAUGUUUCUUCCAUAUACAUACAUUGUAUCACGUGGUUCCUUUCCUUUCGGUGUAUAUGUUGUUGUGUUUACUAAAAAA
rnacentral:lncRNA from 1 species